rnacentral:tRNA from 1 species
UGGGGCGUAGCUGAGCUGGCAAAGCGCCCGGCUGUUAACCGGGAGAUCGCAGGUUCGAAUCCUGCCGCCCCAGCCU